CCGUCAGAGAGACAGGGUUGCUGCUGCUGCAACAAGAGACAAGACGCUUCUUGGAUCACAAAUAGGAGGGAUGCAGGGCGCACGCGCAGUGCGCUCCGUUUACUGUAGGAUAUUCACCGUGGAGGAAAAAAAGGGGGGGGGCAGGCACUAAAUGUAAAAAAAAAACAAACAAAAAAAAAAACAGCGAAAACCCCGACGUGUGCAAUGUAAAUAACCAACCGUAGGGACACGAACUGGGAUUAUCAACAGGGAUCUUUUCCAGGUGUGAUGAGACAAAGAAACAAAGGAUGCCUUAGAGAGGAGGUUGUCUAUACGCCUGGAAACCUCUUCAAAGCACACCAUCAAAUGGAUCAAACGCCUCCCCCUGCCAACUCUAGAUCAUGAUACUCGGCUGAAGCUAUUCCAGUACAUUUAUGAUCCCUCCUCCAUCUAUGGCGAACUAUAGCCAUGCAGGGGACCACACCAUCUUGCAGAAUGUCUCUCCUCUUGCCACAUUCCUCAAAUUGACCUCCCUGGGUUUCAUCAUUGGAGUCGGUGUGGUAGGGAACCUUCUGAUCUCCAUCCUGCUGGUUAAAGACAAGAGCCUGCACCGGGCACCCUAUUAUUUUUUGCUGGACCUGUGCGCCUCGGAUAUCCUGCGCUCCGCUAUCUGCUUCCCCUUUGUCUUCACUUCUGUAAAGAAUGGAUCUGCCUGGACCUACGGCACACUGACCUGCAAAGUGAUUGCCUUCCUAGGUGUGCUUUCCUGUUUCCAUACGGCAUUCAUGCUCUUCUGUGUCAGUGUCACCCGCUACCUGGCCAUUGCCCAUCACCGCUUCUACACCAAGAGGCUGACGUUCUGGACGUGCUUAGCUGUCAUUUGCAUGGUGUGGACGUUGUCGGUGGCUAUGGCGUUUCCUCCGGUGCUAGAUGUUGGGACAUACUCCUUCAUCCGGGAGGAGGACCAGUGCACGUUUCAGCACCGCUCCUUCAGGGCGAAUGAUUCGCUGGGCUUCAUGCUCCUGCUGGCACUCAUCCUCCUGGCCACACAGCUGGUUUACCUCAAGCUCAUUUUCUUCGUCCAUGACCGCAGAAAGAUGAAGCCCGUCCAGUUUGUGCCUGCCGUUAGCCAGAACUGGACCUUCCAUGGGCCAGGUGCUAGCGGGCAGGCGGCAGCCAACUGGCUGGCUGGGUUUGGCCGGGGCCCCACCCCGCCUACUUUGCUGGGCAUCCGACAGAACAGCAAUGCAGCGGGCCGCAGACGUCUUCUAGUACUUGAUGAGUUCAAAACGGAGAAGAGGAUUAGUAGGAUGUUCUACAUAAUGACAUUUUUCUUCCUGGCUCUGUGGGGGCCCUACCUUGUUGCCUGCUACUGGCGGGUUUUUGCUAGGGGCCCUGCAGUCCCUGGAGGCUACCUGACAGCAGCUGUCUGGAUGAGCUUUGCCCAGGCUGGGGUCAAUCCUUUCAUCUGCAUCUUCUCCAACAGGGAGCUCCGGCGCUGCUUCAGCACCACGCUCCUCUACUGCAGAAAAUCCCGGCUACCGAGGGAACCCUACUGCGUUAUAUGAUGGUUUUGCUGUUUUUUUUUACUCAUCUAUGUCUUGGUUACCCUGAAUUAUCUUGAUGUGGGCUCGUCACAGUUGUUCAGCUCUUGUUAUACAUCCUCCCCCUUCAACCUCCAGUUUUUCCUUGCUACUCCUCACGACCCUUCUUAGAGGGUAGCGAGUGGACUGCUGAUCAUGCGGCUCUGCAUGAACGAUUAAAUACAAAAAGUCCAAUCGAACAUGGAGACCAAAUGGAAUGGAAAUAUAGAGAAAGUAUGGAUCUCCUCCUGUGUUUAUGUUCUAGUAAACAGACAUUGUGGAAGGCCAUGACAAUGCAGAAAAGCAAAAAGUUUAACAUUUUUCUUUUGACAAAACCAUGAAAACAAAACCUCCUGCUUUGGAUAUUUUGAAGAUGGGUUACUCUGUGAUGUGCGAAAUACAAAAAAAUAAAUACAAAAUUAUUUAAAAAAAUUAACACAAAAUGAAGAAACAAUACCUCUCAAGGAAUCAUUGGAAAUGUUUUACAGUUUAAGAGUUGCACUAAAACGAAGAUGUAAAGUUGCUUUUCUUUGGUCGAUGGUUGCCAACUGCAUUGCAAGGACAAUUUUUUUCCUCUCUGUUAUUUUUUCUCCCUCAAAGCAAACAAUGAAUGCUUUAAUUGGCAACAGACAACACAAUUGUCUUUACCUUAAGUAAAGCAAAACUUGGUGACUGUUGGGAUACACCAUCACAAGAGGAUAAGAUGGUUUUAAUCAGCGCCGGAAUCUGCCACCAUCCAUCCCAAGCAGCAGGUAAUGGAUUGGGCGCGGGACCUGAUGUGGCUACGGAUGAGCCAGCCCGUAGGCGUGAGAGUGGGCGUUCAAAUGGAUUUGGAGAAGCUUGCCUGGCGUACUCACACACAUGGAACUUUCUGUGUUUGCUCCUCAGUGCAAACCCUACAUAUCUCCUUAUUUCUUCCUUCAAAGUCAAAAGAACAUGACAGUAGGGUGCCGGAGUCUUGUUGUUGGGUUGGUUAGGGUACAUUUUGAUGUUAUCAGGAUGUUUUUUCUUGGCACUCUUUAAUACCAGCAAUGUUGCAAAAUCUCUGUGUUCUGUUUCUCACUUUGAUUGCUGAAGCACAGAUCAAGAGCUUGUAAAGGUAGUCCCCAAUGUCACUUUACCACUGCUGGAAAUCAUAAAUUGUUGAAGUGCGUCUUGCCACUGGUAUAUAUUGUGUGUUCAGACCAGUGGAACACUUCAUGUGAAGUGCAGAGUAAAUGGGUCCAAACUAAAGGGAAAAAAAAAACUACAGGAUGUUGCACUCUCCACAGAAUCCUAACAGAACCCUGGAAACUACCGUAAUAUACACAAACAUCUGUUUAUGAAUAAUGGAUGAAGAUGAAAUCCUUGUACCGGGCCACUCUAGAGCAGAUGUUAUUUACAGUCUCAUCAAAGUAAGUCACCAUCAUUGGUAAUGCAUUUUAUUACAAGACAUAUUUUAUUGUAUUCUAAGAAACAUUUCUAAGAAACUUUUUUGCAUUUUGUCACCCUAAAGUUUUAUUUAGAGAAUUUUAUGCAAUAGACCACCACAAAGUGGCAAAUAAUUGUCAAGUGGAAAUUAAAUAAUAUAUAUUUUCAAAACCUUUAAAAAAUGAAAACAUACAAAAUGACAUUUGCAUUCAGCUCUUAUUGCCCUGAAUAGGUUCCAGUGCAACCAGUUGCCUACAGAAGUUACCUAAUAAAUGACAUGAUCUGUGUGUCUUUCUGUUUUGUUAGUUACUUUGGGCUUUUUUUUAUUAUGUUUUGUUAUAUUUCUGGGGGUUUUCCCCCUGGUAUUGUGUAUUUAGUUUCUCCUUUAGCUUUAAGAAUGACACAUUUGUGUUGUGUUAUUUUAGUAUGUUUGUGUAUUUAGAUUCUCAUUUGUUUUAUAAAACCUAGUUAGUUUGAAGUUUUCACUGCUUAUUUUCUCCACAUCGCUCUGUAGACAUUUUUCCACAGCUUCACUGCUCAAGUUCACAUUUUAACUCCCCUUGUUAAUGUGCUACUAAACACCACCCCAGUAGCUAUUAGCUGGCUGUUUUUUCUUUGUUCCUUGCCAGUCCCAUUGCUUUUCCAUCAUCUCUCCUUGUUCCCAUGACACCUGCUGUUUUGCCUAAUGCUGUGCUCCCUUUGUAUUUUGGCGAAUUUUUGACUUUUGCAGUUAAAUAUAAUCUUCACAAUAUGCCUACAAGAUGUUGGAAGAAAACAUGUAAAAGGCUGCAGAAGACUAUUCCCACCAUGAAACAUGGUGGUGGCAGCAGUAUGAUGUGGAGAUGCUUUUAUUCAGCAGGAAUGGGGAAGGUGGUCAGAGUUGGCUAAAAAAUACACUGCAGUCCUGGAAGAAAAUCUGCUUGAGUCUGCAACAGACUUGAGGUUGGGUACUACUUGAGAUAGUACUAUAACCCUAAACAGUAAGAGAAACUCUGGCAGUUUCCUAGGUUUUUUUUUUUUUUUUUGUUUGUUUGUUUUUGUUUUUUAAGGUCUACUUAGGAGCAAGUCAUGGUACACUAAGUCACUGUAAGAAACUUAAACCAUGAUUUUUGUUUCAUUGUAUAUACAAAAAGAGAUCUAAAUGGACCAAUAACAAACCAUAGAAAUGCAGUCAUUUGUCAGAAAAUGUUACAUUUACAAGCCACCCUGAAUAUAAGGGGACUAGUCAGCAAAGGGUUUAUGUAUGUGUGUUUCAUUUGCAGUCUGGACACAGAAGGGGGGGAGAUCUCCUGCUCUGACUGCAGCUUGGAGGGACUGUCGUGUGAGGACAGGGUCACUUGUGACUGCUUUGGGGCAGUGGUGGCUCCCAUGUGAGAGAGAUGGAUGGGAGGCACAGUGACUCUGCCUGCAGGCAGCAGCAGCAGCCAUUGUAGGGGCCGAAUACAAGGCCAGACACCUGUUUUCCCCCAAAAUGAAAAAUGAAACGAAGACAAGCAUGCGUAAUUCUCUGCAUAUUGGACAAACGGGGGCGAGGCCAAAGACCUGGGGAGAGACAAAAUGAGGGUGUGUGUCAAACAGUGAGACAUCCAGAGGAAGAAUUCACAAAGGUUAGGAGUCCUUGUUAUCUUUGAUAGACUCUCAUGAAGCCGAAUAGAAUUCUAAUAGAUUUUUUCUGCUGCAUGCUUUGCUUUGGGCCUCAUACAACUCAAUUAAAAUAACAGCAGAGAGCCAGCCGUUUAAAUCUUAUGAAAUAUUAACUGUUUAUAUGCAGCCAGCUGAGUUCCCAUGAAGCAAAGAUAGAGUUGUCAUUUAAAUAUAAAAUAAGUCAUGCUUUGUCCAACAUAAGCUCUGGAUCUCCUUUCUCUACGGCCCUUUUCUUCAUGUACACAAUCACAGCACAAUUAAGUCAGUGAUUCAGCAGCAGUAGAUUUCGUAAGCAAAUUUGCCUCUGGUGGGAAAAACACAAAUGCAAUUUGGCUCCAACUAAUGCUCACAUAAGGUAUUAUUUAUUCACACCUUUCUAUUUGUGUUUGUUAUGACUAAAUAAUUGCAGGUCUCUCAAUGUAUCACGAUGGAACAAAAAUGAGAGCACAUUUUUUUAAAUAAAGACUGGGGAAUUGCUAAAACAAAAUGUUUCCAAUUUUAGUGAAGAUGGCUUUAAAAAAUAUUCAGUUUUGAUUGCUGAAGCAUAAUCUUGCACAGCAAAAUUCGAGUACAUAUGUUCAGCUGAGGACAAGAAUCUUUUUGACAAAAUUCAAGGUGCAACAUUUUAUGGCUUGCCUAACAAUUGCAAUAGAAUAAGUGCAAAUAAGGUUUUUUAUUUCCGUUGAUUGGAUUUUUAAGAACUUUUUAUCUUUUAUCCAUAACUUUUUCCUUGGGGGAUAAGUAUGAUGCCAGAUUAAGGACACUCUCAAAAAUAGGAAAGACAAGAGAACAUGCCUUUCAAGUAAGGCAGAUGUAUGUUGAUUUCUAUAAAUCAGAGAACGACUGCAAGAAAAUAGCCGCUUGGUUAUAAAUUGCCAGAGUGAUUAUUUAAGAAAUUAAAACAACUAGAAGUGUGACAAACAAGACUGGAUAUGUACAAUAAGGUAAGAGUCUCUACAUUUCAGUGAGACGGUACUAGAACCUUCUGCCCUAGAAACCAAAACAGCAAUGGAGACAAAUUAACAUUUUAUUUUGUUUGUUUGUUUUUUAUUGUUUGCUUUCCUGUUUUGUCCUGCCAAAAUGUGUUCUUCAAAAUGUUGGUCAUUUGUGUCAGUGAGAAAAACAACCUUAAAAUGUUUUUACCCAGCAUGCACAA